AACUCAAAGGAAUUGACGGGGGCCCGCACAAGCGGAGGAGCAUGUGGUUUAAUUCGAUGAUACGCGAGGAACCUUACCUGGGCUCGAACGUAAGAUGACUGUAGGUGAAAGCUUACAUCUCUUCGGAGCAUUUUACGAGGUGCUGCAUGGUUGUCGUCAGCUCGUGCCGUGAGGUGUCGGGUUAAGUCCCAUAACGAGCGCAACCCCUACCUUUAGUUGCCAUCAGGUUAAGCUGGGGACUCUAAGGAGACUGCCGGUGACAAACCGGAGGAAGGUGGGGAUGACGUCAAGUCAUCAUGGCCCUUACGGCCUGGGCUACACACGUGCUACAAUGGUCGGUACAAAGGGUUGCCAAGCCGCGAGGUGGAGCUAAUCCCAUAAAACCGAUCGUAGUCCGGAUCGCAGUCUGCAACUCGACUGCGUGAAGUCGGAAUCGCUAGUAAUCGUGAAUCAGAAUGUCACGGUGAAUACGUUCCCGGGCCUU
rnacentral:rRNA from 1 species